rnacentral:rRNA from 1 species
AGAGUUUGAUCCUGGCUCAGAACGAACGCUGGCGGCAUGCCUUAUACAUGCAAGUCGAACGAGAAAGUCACUUCGGUGGCGAGUACAGUGGCGCACGGGUGAGUAACGCGUAGAUGAUCUACCCUUCAGUCUGGGACAACUCUUGGAAACGGGAGCUAAUACCGGAUAAAACCUUCGGGUUGAAAGAUUUAUCGCUGGGGGAUGAGUCUGCGUACCAUUAGCUUGUUGGUGGGGUAACGGCCUACCAAGGCGACGAUGGUUAGCGGGUCUGAGAGGACGAUCCGCCACACUGGAACUGAGACACGGUCCAGACUCCUACGGGAGGCAGCAGUAGGGAAUAUUGCGCAAUGGGGGCAACCCUGACGCAGCAAUGCCGCGUGAGUGAAGAAGGCCUUCGGGUCGUAAAGCUCUUUUAUGGGGGAAGAUGAUGACGGUACCCCAUGAAUAAGCACCGGCUAACUACGUGCCAGCAGCCGCGGUAAUACGUAGGGUGCGAGCGUUGUUCGGAAUUACUGGGCGUAAAGGGCGUGCAGGCGGAUUGGCAAGCCGGAGGUGAAAGCCCGGGGCUCAACCCCGGAGGGUCUUUCGGAACUGCCAGUCUUGAGAGGGUCAGGGGCCAGCGGAAUUCCUGGUGUAGAGGUGAAAUUCGUAGAGAUCAGGAGGAACACCGGCGGCGAAAGCGGCUGGCUGGGGCCACUCUGACGCUGAGGCGCGAAAGCGUGGGGAGCAAACAGGAUUAGAUACCCUGGUAGUCCACGCCGUAAACGAUGGGCACUAAGCGUCCGACGGGUUCGACCCUGUUGGGUGCUGCAGUUAACGCGUUAAGUGCCCCGCCUGGGGAGUACGGUCGCAAG